rnacentral:lncRNA from 1 species
AGAGAGAAACGGCCAUAGGAGGACUACUCAACAUCAAUUAUAAAAAAGAGCAACCAAGCUCCAAAUCAACCAUCAAUUGUUCUCUCCCCAAUCUGGUUGAUAAAACCCAACAAACCCAUGAAUCAAUCCUUACUCAUUUGACCCAUUCGCUUCUUGUUGAGAUCUUGCCUUCCAAUCCCCCCAAAUGGGCGUCUCUGUUCGAUUCAAAAUACUGCAAAUUUCUUCGUCGUCUUCUCCGACGAUAUACGAAGGCGAAGAGACAUGCAGAAUGUUGGGCUUUAAAUCGAAAAAGUAAAGGAUGAACAUUGAUUAGAGUUGUGCCCAGGUAAGGGCUUGUCAUGUUAUGUUUUCUAUUGCAAUUUAUUUUUUAUGAAUAUUUGGUUACCCACAAAAAUUAAAAUUGUUACCUUUGUACGAAGGUUUGGCUACCAACUGCAACAUAUUCAUAAUAACCUUUUAAAAAUAAAAUUAUUUUGAAUAUGGUGCAGUUUGUAGCCAAACCUUCAUACAAAGGUAACCAUUUUAGUUUUUGUGGGUAACCAAAUAUUCAUAAAAAAGAAGUUACCUUGGUAUAAAUGUUUGGUUACCUUGGUAUAAAUGUUUGGUUACCUUGGUACGAAGGGUUGGUUAUCAAUAUUACAUUACGCAUCACUCUCUUAUCUCUUUCUUUCAUAUGCAGUGUUCUAUUUUUUAUUUACCUUCAUGAAAUUGGUUGCCAAACUUUUAGACCAAGGUAACAAAUUCAUACUGCAUGUGUGAAGGUAGAUUUGGUUAUCUUGGUAUAAAUGUUUGGUUACUUUGGUAUAAAUGUUUGGUUACCUUGGUACGAAAGUUUGAUUAUCAAUAUUACAAUGUCUGUAUAUGUAUAUACAUUGAUAUCUUGCUAUAUAUAGUUGUAAUUAAUAUGGUUGCAUAUUUGAUUAGUUAUUACAUGAUUUUGAAACCAAAAUUUUGUAGGCACUUGUUCCUGGAUUGAGUUUGACGGAGGAGAUAACGCCAGAGAGUUAUAAAGUUCAUGAUGUUCCUAAAUCAGAAUUUGGAUUUGUUUUAGUUGCUAGAUCCCAAAUAUUUGAAUUUGAAUUUGAAUUAUUAGUUAUAACAGUUAUUUCUCCUUGAUUUUAGGUUUCUUUAUUAAUGUGAAUUUUACUAUUUUUGUAAUAUGGGUCCUAAAAACACUCCUUUUGUAAUUAUUUAGUUGAUGCACUUUUUUUAUAAUUACUUUUUAUUUGUUGUAUACUUAUGUAAAAGACCCUUAAAAAAAUGCCCAUAGCAGUA